GGGCGUGUAGUUCAGCGGUUAGAACGUUGCAUUCACAUUGCAAAGAUCUGUGGUCCGAAUCCACACACGCCCA
rnacentral:tRNA from 2 species